rnacentral:lncRNA from 1 species
AUGGAGUUGGUAGAACCAAUAAAAAGCAAAGUUCUUGAAAGUAGAACGUUCCCUGGGUCUCUGAUCACUGUUGUCUCGGCUAUCAGUGGCGCAGAGGAAAAUACAAAGAAAACACCCAUCACAGAUUCUACAUCUAACACCACUCUCAUUAGUAACCCACCGUCAUCCAAGGUUGUGGAGUCAGUGCAGGUACAAACGCACAACCCCAAACCUCUCAACACCAGCAUCCUAGAAUCAGAGCAGGAUAAAGUGGAGUGCCCCGGCUCAUGCUACACCUCAACUUCAACCUCAACAAGUCCUCAACCUCCUCUUUGCUCUUCAGAGAGAAGCUCUGCUUCUGAAUUCCCUUCAUUUAACAUAAAUGCUGAAAGGCAAAGCCUGACAACCUUGACCGACCACAAUGAGGAAAGCAGCAACAGUGACUUGACUGCAUCGUCCCCUGACCCUGAUGGCUACGUCACACCCUCAUUCCCUAUAGCAUCAUACAGCUACCCUCUUCUGACGGUGCAUCAUGUACCCUAUACAGGCUAUACUGAGAUUACCAUCCCGGCCUCCUUACCCCAACCUCCUUUCCCUGAAAAACAACACACAUCCCCCCUUCAGAACGUGUCUGAAUGCAUUGGCGCUUCCUCAAUAAAGUCAGCUGGAAAACCUUUGACUUCCUCUGCCCAGUUCCAUGUGUCCUUCUCCACUACUACCAAUGAAUUGCCUCCCACGUCUAAAUGCCCCUCUAGUGGCAUGGUGGAGCCAGAGAUCCGACUUAGCUCAAAGUUUGUUCAAGACAGCUCCAAGUACUGGUACAAACCUGGUAUCGCCAGAGACCAGGGUGAGAAUUGCUUUCAUUAUUUAUAUUUAUGCAAUUGGCAGAUGUUGUGGGCCUAUAUGCAUUCUUUGCCAUUCGGACCCAUGACAUUAACAUUACUAGCCCUAUGCGCUAAAGUUUUACUAUUGUAUACUAUUAGUAGUGCACAAUAUAUCAGUACUUUUAGAAUUUUUUUAAAUUUAUUUUAUUGGUAUUGA